GAGGGUUGCUGGAGGUAUCAGAAGUGCGAAUGCUGACAUAAGUAACGAUAAAGCGGGUGAAAAGCCCGCUCGCCGGAAGACCAAGGGUUCCUGUCCAACGUUAAUCGGGGCAGGGUGAGUCGACCCCUAAGGCGAGGCCGAAAGGCGUAGUCGAUGGGAAACGGGUUAAUAUUCCCGUACUUGGUGUUACUGCGAAGGGGGGACGGAGAAGGCUAUGUUGGCCGGGCGACGGUUGUCCCGGUUUAAGCGUGUAGGCUGGUUUUCCAGGCAAAUCCGGAAAAUCAAGGCUGAGGCGUGACGACGAGGCACUACGGUGCUGAAGCAACAAAUGCCCUGCUUCCAGGAAAAGCCUCUAAGCAUCAGGUAACACGAAAUCGUACCCCAAACCGACACAGGUGGUCAGGUAGAGAAUACCAAGGCGCUUGAGAGAACUCGGGUGAAGGAACUAGGCAAAAUGGUGCCGUAACUUCGGGAGAAGGCACGCUGACACGUAGGUGAAGUGAUUUACUCAUGGAGCUGAAGUCAGUCGAAGAUACCAGCUGGCUGCAACUGUUUAUUAAAAACACAGCACUGUGCAAACACGAAAGUGGACGUAUACGGUGUGACGCCUGCCCGGUGCCGGAAGGUUAAUUGAUGGGGUCAGCGCAAGCGAAGCUCCUGAUCGAAGCCCCGGUAAACGGCGGCCGUAACUAUAACGGUCCUAAGGUAGCGAAAUUCCUUGUCGGGUAAGUUCCGACCUGCACGAAUGGCGUAAUGAUGGCCAGGCUGUCUCCACCCGAGACUCAGUGAAAUUGAACUCGCUGUGAAGAUGCAGUGUACCCGCGGCAAGACGGAAAGACCCCGUGAACCUUUACUAUAGCUUGACACUGAACAUUGAGCCUUGAUGUGUAGGAUAGGUGGGAGGCUUUGAAGUGUGGACGCCAGUCUGCAUGGAGCCGACCUUGAAAUACCACCCUUUAAUGUUU
rnacentral:rRNA from 1 species